GUUAGUGGCGGACGGGUGAGUAACACGUGGGAACGUGCCUUUUGGUUCGGAAUAGCUCCUGGAAACGGGUGGUAAUGCCGAAUGUGCCCUUCGGGGGAAAGAUUUAUCGCCAUUAGAGCGGCCCGCGUCUGAUUAGCUAGUUGGUGAGGUAAAGGCUCACCAAGGCUACGAUCAGUAGCUGGUCUGAGAGGAUGACCAGCCACAUUGGGACUGAGACACGGCCCAAACUCCUACGGGAGGCAGCAGUGGGGAAUCUUGCGCAAUGGGCGAAAGCCUGACGCAGCCAUGCCGCGUGAAUGAUGAAGGUCUUAGGAUUGUAAAAUUCUUUCACCGGGGACGAUAAUGACGGUACCCGGAGAAGAAGCCCCGGCUAACUUCGUGCCAGCAGCCGCGGUAAUACGAAGGGGGCUAGCGUUGCUCGGAAUUACUGGGCGUAAAGGGAGCGUAGGCGG
rnacentral:rRNA from 1 species